rnacentral:pre_miRNA from 1 species
AGGUCUUGCUGGAGAAGCAGGGCACGUGCAACAUUCCUGAUGCUUGCUCCAGCUUAUUUUGCACGUGCUCUCCUUUUCCAGCUUGAUU